GAAAGAGAGAUUGGGGUCAUAAUAACAGGACACUUUAAAGCAUUCACAUAGUUUGUAUAUUAUUCUAUAUCAAAUAAAACUAGAGACAAAAAAUUAAGAUUGGGUGAUUUUUGUUUUUUUCAUCCUAGGGGAACCUGAUUUGAGAUCAUUUCUUGGAGAACACAGAGAAGUGUGGUGGUAUGUUCCAGAAUGCAGCCCAUGCAUGUACUCUAUUCCUGCAUUAAGUGAUCUUAGACAUAUGUGCUGGAUUACCAUAACAACAUACAAUCAGGCAGAGCACCAAUGAAAGCUUGGCUGUAAUUCAGAAGAAUGAAAACACUGUGUGAAGACUGUUCUAUAGACAACUUACCUUCAGUG
rnacentral:lncRNA from 1 species